UCAUCAGGUAGGAUAAUCCUCACCUGUUCCUCCUUUUGGAGGGCAGAUACAGAGUGAAAUAAGUCAGAA
rnacentral:snoRNA from 1 species